rnacentral:lncRNA from 1 species
AUGCUGGGCUGGUGUGAAGCAAUAGCCUGUAAUCCUCGCAGGAUUCCUAACACCACUAGGACCCCAGAGGGCUCAGAAGAGUGGGCUGAUACCUCGCAAGCCUCCACACUGAAUGACAAAUCCCCAAGGCGAUCUGCAAGUCGAUCAAGUAAUAUUUCAAAAGCCAGCAGUCCAACAACUGGGACAGCUCCCAGGAGCCAGUCAAGGUUGUCUGUCUGUCCAUCCACUCAGGACAUCUGCAGGAUCUGUCACUGCGAAGGGGACGAGGAGAGCCCGCUCAUCACGCCCUGCCGCUGCACAGGCACCCUACGCUUCGUGCACCAGGCCUGUCUGCACCAGUGGAUCAAGAGCUCUGACACACGCUGCUGUGAGCUGUGCAAGUAUGACUUCAUCAUGGAGACCAAGCUCAAGCCUCUGCGGAAGUGGGAGAAACUGCAGAUGACCACAAGCGAAAGGAGGAAAAUCUUCUGCUCUGUCACUUUCCAUGUCAUUGCCAUCACCUGCGUGGUCUGGUCCUUGUACGUGCUGAUAGAUCGGACAGCAGAGGAGAUCAAGCAGGGAAAUGAUAAUGGUGUCCUCGAAUGGCCAUUUUGGACAAAGCUGGUUGUGGUGGCCAUCGGCUUCACAGGAGGUCUGGUCUUCAUGUAUGUACAGUGCAAGGUCUACGUGCAGCUGUGGCGCAGGCUGAAGGCCUACAACCGCGUGAUCUUCGUGCAGAACUGCCCAGACACCGCCAAGAGGGCGGAGAAGAACCGCUCUUGCACCGUGAGCAUGGACACCAAGGACGCUGGGGCGGUGCCCGCACUGCAGACAGGGACCACCGCACGGCCGCCAGCGGAGGCUGGCCCCACUGAGCUCAUACCCGUGUGA